UACGUAGGGUGCAAGCGUUAAUCGGAAUUACUGGGCGUAAAGCGUGCGCAGGCGGUUGUGCCCGACCGAUGUGAAAUCCCCGGGCUUAACCUGGGAAUGGCAUUGGUGACUGCACGGCUAGAGUGUGUCAGAGGGGGGUAGAAUUCCACGUGUAGCAGUGAAAUGCGUAGAGAUGUGGAGGAAUACCGAUGGCGAAGGCAGCCCCCUGGGAUAACACUGACGCUCAUGCACGAAAGCGUGGGGAGCAAACAGG
rnacentral:rRNA from 1 species